rnacentral:lncRNA from 10 species
UUUGAGGUUCUGGGACUUGGACUGGCUUUCUUGCUUCUCAGCUUGCAGACGACCUAUUGUGGGACUUCACCUUGUGAUUGUGGCCCUGAUCUGCAGCUCCCAGGGAGACCAACGCAGAAGGCCUCUUCUGGAACUGAUUGCAAGGAGUGAAAUGGACUAAUUUUAGAAUAAGCAACUCUACUAUGGAACAUCUGAAAAAAAAAGAGCACUUUUUAAAUUACAGCAAAAUAUUUUUUGAUAUAAAUUUGUGUCUGGCUUCCGCAGAAAACAGUAGACACAUAUAAGGUUUUGCUCCAAGAACAGACUGGACAAAUGAAAUGACAUAUAUAUCCACAAGGGACAUGUUUUUAAGGCAGUUGUCAGAGGAGAAAGAGGAGAAGCAUGUGGAAGGAGGGCUUCCUGAUGACUAAAUUAUAUGUAUGUUUCUGUAUGUCUCAUUUCAUGGGAACUACCUCUACUUUCAAAUGAUCAUUUCUUCCCAACAUUUCAAUCUAUAUAUCACUUCUCUUUGUAAUGAAAAGCAUGUUACUUUUCUAACUUUUAGCCUAAAUACUAAGAAAUAAAAAUUUAUUUAAUGA